GUGAAAGUUUCCAAGGGCGCAUGGUGGAUGCCUUGGCAACAGGAGCCGAAGAAGGACGUGGGAAUCUGCGAUAAGCCUGGUGGAGUCGAUAACCGGACGUUGAGACCAGGAUUUCCGAAUGGGGAAACCCCGCACGACGUGUCGUGUGACCCCCGGUUGAACACAUAGACCGGGUGGAGGGAACGUGGGGAAGUGAAACAUCUCAGUACCCACAGGAAGAGAAAACAAAAGUGAUUCCGUUAGUAGUGGCGAGCGAACGCGGAUGGGGCUAAACCGUAUGUGUGUGAUACCCGGCAGGGGUUGCAUGUGCGGUGUUGUGGGCCCCUCCUUGUCAUGUCUGCCGGCAUGGCGCAGUGAGGUGCGGGCAUAUAGACGAACCAGUGUGGAUGCUGGACCGUAGAGGGUGAGAGUCCCGUAGUCGAAAUGUGUUCCGCCGCUGUUGGAGGGUUGCCCGAGUAGCACGGGGCCCGAGGAAUCCCGUGUGAAUCUGCCAGGACCACCUGGUAAGCCUGAAUACUACCUGUUGACCGAUAGCGGAUCAGUACCGUGAGGGAAUGGUGAAAAGUACCCCGGGAGGGGAGUGAAAUAGUACCUGAAACCAUGUGCCUACAAACCGUUGGAGCCUCCUUGUGGGGUGACAGCGUGCCUUUUGAAGAAUGAGCCUGCGAGUUAGUGAUACGUGGCGAGGUUAACCCGUGUGGGGAAGCCGUAGCGAAAGCGAGUCUGAAUAGGGCGAUUGAGUCGCGUGUCCUAGACCCGAAGCGGAGUGAUCUACCCAUGGCCAGGUUGAAGCGCGUGUAAGAGCGCGUGGAGGACCGAACCCACUUCAGUUGAAAAUGGAGGGGAUGAGCUGUGGGUAGGGGUGAAAGGCCAAUCAAACUCCGUGAUAGCUGGUUCUCCCCGAAAUGCAUUUAGGUGCAGCGUCACGUGUUUCUUCCCGGAGGUAGAGCUACUGGAUGGACGAUGGGCCCUACAAGGUUACUGACUUCAGCCAAACUCCGAAUGCCGGGAAGUGAGAGCGUGGCAGUGAGACUGUGGGGGAUAAGCUUCAUAGUCGAGAGGGAAACAGCCCAGACCACCGGUUAAGGCCCCUAAGCGUGUGCUAAGUGGGAAAGGAUGUGGAGUUGCUGAGACAACCAGGAGGUUGGCUUAGAAGCAGCCACCCUUGAAAGAGUGCGUAAUAGCUCACUGGUCAAGUGAUUCCGCGCCGACAAUGUAGCGGGGCUCAAGUACACCGCCGAAACCGUGGCAUUCAGUUUUGCUGGAUGGGUAGGGGAGCGUCGUUCACGAGGUGAAGCCAGCGGGUAACUUCUGGUGGAUUGUGGACGAGUGAGAAUGCAGGCAUGAGUAGCGAAAGACGGGUGAGAAACCCGUCCGCCGGAUGACUAAGGGUUCCAGGGUCAAGCUAAUCUGCCCUGGGUAAGUCGGGACCUAAGGCGAGGCCGACAGGCGUAGUCGAUGGACAACGGGUUGAUAUUCCCGUACCAGUGAAGAACCGCCCAUGCUGAGCCGGUGAUACUAACCGCCCGAACCAUCCCGA
rnacentral:rRNA from 1 species